rnacentral:tRNA from 1 species
UGGGGCGUGGCCAAGUGGUAAGGCAACGGGGUUUGGUCCCGCUAUUCGGAGGUUCGAAUCCUUCCGCCCCAG